CUCACUUUAUGGGAUGAACUUUGCUCUUUUAUUUUCUCAGCAGCUUAGUCGACAGAAACAUUGAGUUGACAGCACAGAGACACCAUGUUCAGGAUAUCUCUGGUCGUUUGUGUUUGGCUGAUACUCGGCAUCACUGCUAAGCCUUGGGACAAACUUAAAGAUGAAGCCUUUCAGGAAACUGUGGUGUCUAUAGAUGGCAAUGGAAAGCUUUCCUGGGGAAUAGAAGUAGAGCCUCCAGAGGAUAUGGAUAUCCUUCAGUAUGAGAUUGACCCUCGAAUGCAGAUUUCAAAGAGUAUGACUGAGAACGCAGACAACAAUGAUCCCAUGCUGGCAGAAGUAGACUUGGACGAGCGCCAUCAUCCUUCAGUGGCCGAACUCCUUCGAGCUCAGAUGAGAAACUUUAACCUCCCUCCUUCUGUUGACAUCCAGGAAAAAUCCUUCAAGCUAAACUCCGACAUGCAGGUAGCAGAGCUGGAUGAAGAUGAGCACAGCCACCCUGAAGUCGGAGGUAGAGCAGAUGAAGAACCUGAGGAGGAUUGGGAUGAAGCCUACCGCCAAGCAAGGCAGCAGUUGGAAGUGUAUCUGGCCCCUCUGAUGGCUGAGGUCGAGGUCGAAGGUGCAUUCCAUGAAACUCAGAACGACGAAGGGCCUUUACCCGAGCAGAGGGAGGAAGUAGUCAGAAAACACGUCUAUCCAGAAGAGGACAUGGACGACUUGUACCACAAAGACGUUCCUGUUCUUUACCAAGACAACUCUGAGGCUCCAGCUGCAUCUUCUGCUGUGGAAACUCCCUCUCAGAGGAAACACAGCCAGCCAGAGGAAGAUCUGGAUCAUAUUUAUCACCAGUAAUCAUUCAAUAAGUCUGUUGAUCUUUUCAUUUAAACACACUGUACCUCUACACUUGGGCUGUAGUAUAAAUAAAUACAUCACAAGUGUCGUAUCUAAUAAACUG
rnacentral:lncRNA from 1 species